rnacentral:misc_RNA from 1 species
GAUGAAGAACGUAGCGAAAUGCGAUAAGUAGUGUGAAUUGCAGAAUUCAGUGAAUCAUCGAAUCUUUGAACGCACAUUGCGCCCCUUGGUAUUCCAUGGGGCAUGCCUGUUCGAGCGUCAUUUGUACCUUCAAGCUCUGCUUGGUGUUGGGUGUUUGUCUCGCCUCUGCGCGUAGACUCGCCUCAAAACAAUUGGCAGCCGGCGUAUUGAUUUCGGAGCGCAGUACAUCUCGCGCUUUGCACUCAUAACGACGACGUCCAAAAGUACAUUUUUACACUCUUGACCUCGGAUCAGGUAGGGAUACCCGCUGAACUUAAGCAUAUCAAUAAGGGAGGA